rnacentral:lncRNA from 1 species
CCUGUGAGAAGAUUUCCCGUGUUUGCAGCUAGCUCACACAGCAAGGUCUUUCCAGAAAAGAUGUCCCAGAUGCCAAAGCUGACACAUCAGAAAGAUCAUCAUUUGAAGGGCUGCUUCCCACUGGGAAAAAGCAUGAUUUGGGUGAGUGGUCUUUUCCACCAGAGUCCAAAUUCUCUAGGACUUUGGCCAUCUCAGAAUAGGGUCGCCUUAUAAAUUUUUGCCAAUACGGUAAUUCUAAUAUAGUCAUUUUCAAAGUGGAGAGACUUCAAUGAAAGAAUUCUCCUGAUGGAUGCAAAUUGCUUCCCAAACAUGUGAGUCUUUUCUUCUCUUCUCCUGAGUAAAUGCCACGCAAUCCUCCAACUGUCAUUUACAGAGAACUAAUCGCUUCUUACUAGUAACUUAUUAAGUGAAUCACUAAGGAUGACUGAAUUUGGAAUUUGUGUGUGACCAGAAUAUUUUUAGUCAGUGUUCUAUCCCAGAUUCUGUCAUCCAUGCAACAAGUGGCCCCUUGCAAAGCUCUGGCUGUGCGGGCACGCUGUAGAUGGCCAGAAUGCCCGUGCUUGGGAGGAAGCAAGUUUUGUUAUCUCUUUUAUCAGUUGCUGCUACUGUGUUACCCAUGUGGUUGGUUUGAGAUGAUCUGAUCUUCUCAACAAUGUUUACAUCAGUAUUUGGUCCUGUAAUUUUCUAAUGACAGAUUGAAAGAUAUGUGAACAUCGUGGUUCAAAUAGGAAUGAUCAUUACCCCAACCGCAGAAGCAAAUGUUUACAUAAUGCCACCCCCUCCCCCCAAAAACAAGCUGCUUGUACAUUGACACUUCAUUAUUAUAAACAAGUCUCAUCUUUCUUCCAUUGGAAAGUGUAAAAGAAUAGACGGAUAACGAGGUCCCCACCUAAGCGAGUUGUAAAAAAAGUUUGGGGGUUAUUGUUUUUCUCAGGGAAGAUUUUUUAAAUGCAAUUUUAUUUUUUAAAUGUUAUAAAUUUCUAUGAUUCAAAAGUCAAAAUAAUAUUGAAAGUAUAAUUGAGAAGUUUCACUCUCUCUGCUACCCGAGUCUCCUUGGAUUUUCCACUCCACCCCACAGAAGUCACCACUUUCUUAGUUCCCUGUAUAUCUGCCUAGCUUUUUUGGGGGGCGGGGGAGGAGGAAGAUUGGCCCUGAGCUAACAUCUGUGCCAAUCUUCCUCUAUUUUUUGCAUGUGGGAUGCCACCUCAGCACGGCUUGAUGAGUGGUGUGAAAUUCGGCACCCAGGGUCUGAACAUGCGAACCCCGGGCUGCAAAAGUAGAGUGCGAACUUAACCACUAUGCCACUGGUCCAGCUCCACCUAGCACGGUUUUUAUGCAAAUAGAGGUAGUCGUGUUUUCCUCUAAAAGGGAGAGAUAAAUAUUCCACUAAUGCACAAAGCUCCCCUGAGCCCACAUUAGGAGGUAAAGUGAAUAAGGUAGAUAAGUUCAGAGGUGACCCUAGAAGACAGAAAUAAUCUCUGAAGUCUAUCUUCCUAUGACUGUCAGCAGCACCGGCCUUUUUUUACAUACCUGGCUCUUGGGAAAAUAAUGGAAUAGAGUGUUUUCUCCUGACUCCCUGGCUCUGCUUUCAUAUUCUGCAUCAUCCCUUGUCAACAAUACCAUAAAAGUCCCCGACAAAGAUCCAUCUUUUGUUCUACACCCCACACCCACCUCCAAUAAACAUAUCAGUCCCUGUGGGGACGGGUAAAUGGAUUCCAAUGUACACAGUAUUCAAGGACGAAAUGUCUGGCUCAUUCAAAUCAAGGUUUCCUCCAACUGGAAGCAGUCCUUCAAAAUGAGUCUGAUGGGGAAACUUGAUACUGGAGGAUGUCCCAAACAUGCAAUAGUCUACGGAUUUAUGGAGGGCUUAUUAUGUGCCAGGUGUUGUGGCAGAUGCCAGGUGGAAGGGCAAGUAGGACACAGGUCCCACCCUCCCGGACCUCAGAGGCUCAGGAGGAGAGUUACAGGGCAUUGUAAUAAGAGUCACGAGGAAGGGCCCUAACCAGGGUGGAGAGCUCAGGGAAGGUGUCUCAGGAGAGGCCUCAUCAAAGCUGAGACAAGAGGGGUAAGGAGGACUCAGUCAGGCAGUGAGUGGGGAUUUGAGGCAGCAUUAUGUGCAACGGCCUUGGGAUGAGCAAGCCAUGGCUCUUUCCUCCUCUCCUACGACUUCCUUUCCAAGUGGGACCUGGUGGAGAUCAUUCUGGUAAGCAGUGAUUUGAAUGCAGUGCAGGGGCAGUAGGAGUUGGAGGCGCUCAGGAGCGAGUGGAAGUGUGGAGUCCCUCACAUCACAACACAUGGACGUGUGCCUGCUCAAGGACCCCCAAGCUUAUUCCAGGCACACUGCAUACAUUGCUUGGAAACCUCAGAAAAUAUCAUGGCAAUGGGAGCUUCGAGGGAAAGGUCUCGAAAUGUCAAUGAGUCAGAAGGACACUGACCACAAGCAAAGCAAAAGCAACUGGCAUUCUUGACGAACUUCUUGAGAAGAAGACUCACUGGGCCCUGAAGAAAGUGCUGCCCAAGCCCCUCUUGUUUCUCUGAAGUGAACCUUGUGGGGAGGGAGGGGCAGACACUCAACACUCCAGGGACAGGGGUUCAAGUCCCAGCUCAGCCACUUCACCAUGGGGAAACCUCAAGCUAGUCAUGCACUGGCUCUGAGUCAUGGUAUCCCAGUGACCAUGAAUAUGUAUGAUAAUCCUUCCUUCUUAAAGUCAUUGUGAGGGUCCACGGCGUUGUAAACCACCAGAAAACCUACAAAUGCUACUUGUAAGUGAAGGGAGGGUGUGCAUAAACCGUAAUCACCACCCCGAAAGGCAGGAACAAGGAUCUCAACCGGUCCCCUCUGCCGUGGCACACAGCAUCUAGGAGGCCUGCAGCACAGCUUGUCUUUGGACAGAAAGAGCUCAGUCUUGGGUGAGUUCGGGAGAAGCACAUGCAGGGCCAGAUGCAGCUGUGACAGGUUUCCGCAUAUCUCAUCAGAUAGCCUUCUUUCUCUCAUCUUCUCUGCGUCUCCCCUCCUCAGCUCCCUGGGGUCCCUGUGCCUGGAACCUGGCUAGGAGCCUCUCGUGGGGGUCUCUCCCUACCUACAGGGUGGAGGAAGGCCCCCAGGUUUAGGACUUUCAGAGACUUCAGAGGGCAGCACCCAUGACACCCACCUUUCUCCGGCUCCCUUGACUGCCUUUGGCAGUGUCGUUUCAGCGUGCGAUUGUGCUAAAAGACUUCUGUCCCAUGAGGAAGAAACGAGAUGGAUGAGGCAGGUGGAAAGCCUGUCUCGCUGUAUGAGAAAAAUCAUGGUAGAAGAGGGCAUGAAAAGAAGGCAAAAUAAGGACAUGGAAAAUUCCUGAUAAAGACUGCGCGAAGCCUGAAGACGCGAUCACCUUCUUUCACAGUCAUUCCCAAUCCUUUGACACGUGCUGCUGUGGGGCCUGAGGCACUCGCAGCAGAGCCUGAAGGUUUUAGGGCUGAAACAAAAUGCAGUGGCCAAGGAAAACUCUUCUCGGAUUCUACCGCCUCUCUACGCACGCAUCACCUCUCACACCUCACACCACAGCCCCGAGGAGACCGAGGAGCACCCGAGCCACACACCCGAACUUCUUGUUGCUUGAAAGCAUUGAGCCUGGCUUCCUCCCCAAUUCAAACUGCAUGAUCUGACCUACAACUACGAGUGCUUGUCCUCGGUACUGACAAAGGAUGGGUGGUAGGCACAGGGACUCCAGAAACGGAGAAACAGGUAUGAAAGUGGAGCGCUUGUCCUUCCUGCAGGAUGGGGGAGUGGCUAAAAGUUUGGAUUCUGGAGUCAGACUGAGAAGGUCCAAAUUCCACCUCCUCUGCUUCUUGUCGGGGUGACCUGCUUUCUCAACCACCUGAGCCCUCCGAUCCGUCUCUGUCAGUGGGAUAAGCAGACUUUGUGUGCUUCUUCAGGUGAUGCAACGUAAAAUACACAGCGCCAACUCCCACACAUUUUUGCCUUAAAAAUAAAAAUUGGCCCUGAAACUAAUCAGGUCUCUAGCUCUCUUACCAAGUCACAGGAAAUACAGGGGACUGAGGAACAAAUUAAGCAACACUACGAAGAAGCAAGCAGCGGAGCCCCGAACGUGGAACAUUCUGUAAGAUAAACGACCUGGUGUCUUCAACAAGUCAACAGCAUGGAAAAGGGAAAAAAUGAGGAGUGGGAACUGUUAAGGAAUAAAAGAGACCUAAAAGAGAGAGAUGCCUUAAAAACAGCCCUAAAGAGACAUCUGUGAGAGAAUGAACCUAAUAGUAAGGAAUAGCUGUUCAUUUUGUGAGGUUGGAUAAGGGCGUGGUGGUUAUAUUCCAAAAAGUCCUUACCGAUUACAGGUGCACACUGAAGUAUUUGUGGUGAAAGGAUGUGUGUCUGAGAUUCAUAGGGUCAGGGAGGAAUAUUAAAAUAGUUGGAGCUG